GUUCCUGUGGUUAAGAUAUGUAUCAACGAUGGUUUUUCAGACCAUAGGCCUUGGUGAAAAGCCAAGCGGGAAUA
rnacentral:tRNA from 1 species